rnacentral:rRNA from 1 species
CACGUAGGGGGCGAGCGUUGUCCGGAUUUAUUGGGCGUAAAGAGCUCGUAGGCGGCUCAGUAAGUCAGGUGUGAAAACUCCAGGCUCAACCUGGAGACGCCACUUGAUACUGCUGUGGCUAGAGUCCGGUAGGGGAGCAUGGAAUUCCUGGUGUAGCGGUGAAAUGCGCAGAUAUCAGGAGGAACACCAGUGGCGGAAGGCGGUGCUCUGGGCCGGAACUGACG